rnacentral:rRNA from 1 species
UACGUAGGGGGCAAGCGUUAUCCGGAUUUACUGGGUGUAAAGGGAGCGUAGGCGGUGAUGCAAGUCAGAAGUGAAAGCCCGCAGCUCAACUGCGGGACUGCUUUUGAAACUGUAUGACUAGAUUGCAGGAGAGGAAAGUGGAAUUCCUAGUGUAGCGGUGAAAUGCGUAGAUAUUAGGAGGAACACCAGUGGCGAAGGCGGCUUACUGGACUGUAAAUGACGCUGAGGCUCGAAAGCGUGGGGAGCAAACAGG